GGACGUUAACCAAGCUUGUGGCCAAUUUUAUAACAACACAGUCUGGUGCAGGCCGUGUCCUUGCUUGUCAUCUUCAUUCCGUCCGAGACAGUCUAUGGGCUACUUUGAUCAUGUUUAUGGCCAGCCUGUGAUACUUCAUUACAAUUAAUAAGGCCAUACUCUCUGAUGAUUUGGUGGUAGUUUCACUUCAUGUUGGUAGUGUCGCGCGAGGGCUCGUCCCAUAAUCUUUCACAAUGCUUCAGAGCUGGCUUGUACGUAUGCCUUGGCCAGUUGCUUCAAAGCUUGCUGCUGAUACUCCUCUACUUACUGGGCAGCGUGUCCUUGAUGCCCUUUCCCCUUCAGUUUGUGGUGGAACCUGCGCCAUUCCUGGUGCUUCUGGCUGUGGGAAAAUUGUUAUCAGUUAUGCACUUUCCAAGGUAAUGAACUUAUCAGGUGAUGCUAAAGGGAAGGACCGUCUGACGACACUCAAGUCAGAAUAUUUCUUUCUAUCUGGGUAUAGAGCUUGGGAGAAUCAAGAUUAAACGUUUUGCUGAUGCUGGGAUCUAUGCUCAGCUGCAAGAGAGUGCUCAAGGACGUGAAUCUGUUGCAGCCAACCUUGUUGCAGAUUUGACAUUGCAGGUGAGUUAUAAGUUUGUAAUGGUGGACGACAUGAUUGACACAGAAGGACCUAAAGUCGCAGCUGCAAGAGUUAAUUAUGGAACAGCAGGACCAUAUGAUGAAACUCACAAGUCAGAAUAUUUCUUGCUAUAUGGGUUUGGAGCUUGGGAAAAUCAAGAUUAAACGUUUUGGUGAUGCUGAGAUUUAAGCUCAGCUGCAAGAGAGUGCUCAAGGACGUGAAUCUGUUGCAGCCAACCUUGUUGCAGAUUUGACAUUGCAGGUGAGUUAUAAGUCUGUAAUGGUGGACGACAUGAUUGACACAGAAGCAAUGCAGGACCUAAAGUCGCAGCUGCAAGAGUUAAUUAUGGAACAGCAGGACCAUAUGAUGAAACUCACAAGUCAGAAUAUUUCUUGCUAUAUGGGUUUGGAGCUUGGGAAAAUCAAGAUUAAACGUUUUGGUGAUGCUGAGAUUUAAGCUCAGCUGCAAGAGAGUGACGUGAAUCUAUUGCAGCUAAGCUUGUAGCAAAUAUAACACAGCUUGGUGCAGACCGUGUCGAUCAUGUUCAUGGCCAGCAUGCUUUCAUGUAAUAAGGCCAUAUCCUCUGAUCUUUUGGUGGUAGUUUCACCUCGGGGAAGAGACUUCUCAGAUCCUGUGACUUUUGCAACCCUUAGUAUUGUGCAGGUCCCUCGGGUUUGGACAAAAAGCUUGCCCAGAGAAAACAAUUUCUUCUCCGGUUUGCCCCCAUUCUUCUUCGGUUCGAUUUCCUUUCUCAAGUGCAACGCACCAGAUCCGUACAAGUUCGACAGCGGAACCUUCGGUUUCCACCUGCUUACAGGAAAUGAAAAGAGUCAAAUCCAAGAAAAACAACUCUAUAUAAAGAAGCUGCUUGCAAUGGGAAGCUGCUUGUGAUAAGAAUCCUUGAAAGGAGAAUCAGAGAGGCAUCAACACAUACCUCAACAAGUUCGUGUUCUUCUAAAUCUUAACCAUCUUGUGGAUCGGAGGACAAGACAAGGUCUUUUUAACACCGAUCUUUCUCAAUCCAAAACUAGCAACUCCGCUCCACAAGACAAGACAAGGUCUUUUUAACACCCAAGUUUCCCGAGCUCGACCUGUGAAAAGACAGAUAGUAGGAAGGCAGUGCAUCUAGGUUCACCGAGAUCUCGACAGCUCCAGAUUUGCCUGCACCACAAAGAAGUACACCACAUCUGCUAGAGUUUUCUGGAAUUUAAUCUUCAAGCAAUGGAAAGGGCUAACAAACAUCCAUAAACAUCUUCAAUAGCUUCACCGCCUCACUAUACUGAACUAAGGAGGCUUGUAGCCCUGUGAACAAAAAGGGAAACGAGUAUUGCUCUAACCUGCUUCAAGAUCCUUAAUUUGAAUUCACUCACGACUCCUGCCAGCGGCAAUUUGAAUUCACUCACGACUCCUGCCAGUGGCUUGAAUGAAUGCUUGACUACAAUGUACGUGGCGGGAAGCUCAAUCGUGGUCUCUCCAUGGUUGAUAGCUACAAGCUGUUCAAGCCAAGCCAAGACUUGACCGAUUAAGGGACUUUCAUUUUGUGUGCUCUCAGGUGGUGCAUUGAAUGGGUUCUAGGAGCCAACAUAUGAGGAUUGUCUGGACCUGAUUGCUCGUGUUCCUGUUGUAGCUGCGUAUGUUUAUCGCAGGAUGUACAAGAAUGGUGAUUCUAUCCCCUCAGAUACAUCUUUGGAUUAUGGUUGUUCUAGGAUAUGGACACCAUCUUCUGCGCAAAACUGAUCCAAGGGCAAAAGAGAGUUUGCCUUGAAGCAUUUACCUGAUGACGCUCUUUUUCCAGCUGGGGUCAAAGCUUUACGAAGUUGUGCCACCCUGUUCUCACCGAGCUUGGAAAGGUGAAGAACCCGUGACCAAGUGUUGAUGCUCACAGUGGGGUCUUGCUGGACUACUAUGGUCGAACCGAAGCAAGGUACUACACCGUUAUCUUUCGUGUUUGAAGGAGUCGUGGCAUCUGCUCUCAGGUAUAUCUAUAUACUUUACACAAUGAGUAAAUUAAGAAGAAAAAAAUAAAUCAUUAGAAGGCAUUGAACGACAAAUAAUUUAACUGUCCAACUAACAAAUAGUAUCAAACCGGUUAUUCGAUCAAAAGCUUGUACUUUUAACGAAUUAGCCAGAAAAUUUGAAUUCGAAUGAAGAGAAACCAAAGUGUAUCAUUUCAUCCCCAUUGUCUAAUUGGGCUCCUUCACUGUAUCCACCUGAAACACACAAAACCUCAGAUUUACGCUACAGUGUGCAUCAGAUUAGAGUUAUGAAUAGAGGACACAAACCUCAUUGAGGUGUUGAGCAGACUUGGAGGUUAUAUAAGUGAUACGUGUGUAUCACUUCUAAUGUUUUUGUGAUUAGUGGAUUUAAAAAAAAACCGUCUUUCAGUCCUAAAGAACAAAUAAAAAGAACUAAUGCCCUUUCAUCAAAGUGUAUAGUUCCAACCAGAAAGGCUCUUCACUUGGUUAUAAUCAGUUCCAACCAGAAAGAGCGAGACAGACAGCGAGCGAGCGAGAGGGUAUGAUUAUAAUGGUAUGUGUUCGUGUUCUAACCAGGACGAUGAUGUAUUUGACUCAGUAACUAACAACAUUAAACUGAUUAGAAGAACCAAAAAGGUAAGCUUAUGGGUUUGAAGAGUGAAGAAAAUUCAGAACCAAAAAAGAUUCUGGCCUAUGAAGAGAGCCAAAUGGAGUCACGGCCUGUGAAGAGAGGUAGUCAAGAAGCAGGUAUGCAUAAAUUGGAUGUGUUUGAAAAGCUUGAAGCUAACUAUAGGUUUGUGUUUGUUCCAAACAGGACGAUGAAUCAUAUUUUUUCAAGGACGUACGAAAGCAUGAAGGUUUAGCACUGAAAGGGGGCUUAUCUGGUUCUGAGCCAGCCAAGCAAUGACCCCUAUCUCGAAGGAGAUUUCUGCCACGAUUCAAGAUGAUCGUUCUGGCUUGAAACGACAGUGUUUUGAAAAUUCUAGGAAUUAUGCUUUUGGUGUUAGUUGGCAGCCCAUAUUCUUCUCCUUCCUUCCCCUUUGUCUGAAAGCAAAACGGAACAAAGGAUUCAGGACUGAGCUUUGAACUUUGAAGCAUUAUAAUGGCGACGAGAGAGCAAACAAGUCAGAGAGAGAACACAAUCAUCACCAACGUGCUUGCUUAAGGUCAAGGAGAUCAUCAUUGAAGGUAGAGAGCAUAAAUGACACCAUUCUAUGAGCCAACGUCCAAGAAGAAGAAGAAGAAGAAGAAGAAGAAGAAGACCCCCAGGGACCUGAGACGAAGUGGAAUUGAUAAUGAUGCUGGAUGUUCCUGUUCUCGUAUGUCUGGUUUAGCCUUAUUUUAUGAUUUCAAACUAUAUUUCUAUGUGAAUUCAUUAUCUUCAUAAAGUUGGUACCAUUGUGAGAGUGUGUUGGUUCUUCUAUCUUAUCCUCUCAUGCAAAAGGCUGGACAAAUUCAGUAAACAGUAAUGUCGCUGAUCUUCCUAGUGAUAUUGGCCUGCAUGUUUUAACUUUUAAGCCUAAGACCCUAUAUUUUAGUGGAGGAGGAUGCUUUGAUCGACUGGUGAUGGUUUUGAUGGAUCGUUUUUGUCUUCUCUGCGCUACAUCUUCAGGUUUCGGAUGAUGCUUUUAUCGAUGAGAGUGAUGGCUUUGAUGGACACGUUUCUUCUAUGUGCUACUUCUUCAAAGGGUAUUUUGGAAGCAAGCGAUGAUCCAAUCAUCACGUUUCUAAUCCAUGUUAUUGUCUUCAAGCGUUCUCAUGGAUUUGUGGAGGAUGAUCCUGCGAUUGAUCGAUUGUGGAGAAGGAUGCUUUGAUCGGUUGGUGACUGUUUUGAUUGCUUGUAUUUGUCCUCUCUGCGGUACAUCUUCAGGUGGUCUUCUUCCACUUAACCGAUCUUUUCUGUUUCUUUCUAUAUAAAGUGAAAAAAACAUCUCUGUCUCUCUUUGAUGCAGAUCAUGAGGAACUAGGAUUACUGUGUGGGAGGUUCAAAGAGAAAAAACAAACAUUGUGGGAGCGUUUGAUUUCUGAGUUUAACUUUCAGAUCGUGAAGGCACUGGGAGGACUGAUGUGAUAAAAUCUUACCUUUCGUCUUUUUAAAGAUCGUGGAGGGAAGGAUGGUUUGAGAGUAUAUAACUUCGAAUUUCUGGUUACUUCACAUCUAUACUAAUGGCUAUUUUUGGUGAGGUUUUGGAUCGGAUGAUGUCUUUUAUGGGACCAUGCUUUGAUGGAAACGCUUCUUCUCCGCUCUAACGUCUUCAGGGGUUUUGAUGGAAACGCUUCUUCUCCGUGCUAACGUCUUCUUAACGGGUUUUGGUCUUACUCAUAAGUCUUAACACUGGGCUCAUCAGUGACUUUUAUGGGAUCAUCAGUGAUUGGCUUUGAUAAAAACGCUUCUUCUCCGUGCUAUAACGUCUUCAGACUCACAAGUCUUAAUACUGGGCUUGGUUUAAGAAUUCUGAGAAUUGGGCUCUGGUUUUAGUUGGCCCACCAUAAUUCUUUAUUUCUUCUUUUAGGGUCCAUUAGUUGAUGAGACGCUGUCGUUUUGGAGCAUCGUCUCCUUCCAUCCCCCUUGCCUGAAAACAAAACGGAACGGAGGACUUGAGGAGUGAUGACUGAGGAGUGAGGAUCUGAGCUUUCGGUAUUGAUAAGAGGUGGCCGUUGAUUGAUUCAUUUAUUUAACUCUCUCUCUCUCUCUCUCUCGAGGCGUCUCUUGGUUCAGCCACCGCCUACUUCGCCUGGCGCUACAUCUCCGCCGUUGUUCUCUUGGUUCGUCCCCCUUCUUCUUCCUCUUCGGUCCAGUUUCAUGAUUCGAUUUCCUGCCUGGGGUUUUGGAGGAAGAACAUCAGAUGGUUCUGUGUCUCCUCAUGCUUUUUACAACAUUAUACGCCGACGAGGUUGUUGGAGUUUAUGCAAUGUUUCUCCAGCGGGAUCCACAAUUUGUACUUGUGGCACUGCUUAUCCUGCCUUAGGAGAUUUCUUGCUAUAUGGCUCUGGAGCUUGGGAUAAUCAAAGAUCAAACGUUUUGCUGAUUCAAGAGACUGCUCAAGGACGUUAGCCAAGCUUGUGGCCAAUUUGAUAACAACAACGUCUGGUGCAGACCGUGUCCUUGCUUGUCAUCUCCACUCCGAGACAUUCUAUGGACUACUUUGAUUAUGUUUAUGGCCAGUAAUUACCUGCCCAUUUCACUUCAUGUGGUUGGUGUCGCGCGAGGGCUCGUCCCAUAAUCUUUCGCAAUGCUUCAAUUGCUUCAAAGCUUGCUGCUGAUACUCCUCUACUUACUGGGCAGCGUGUCCUUGAUGCCCUUUCUCCUUCUAUUUGUGGUGGAUUUGCGCAAUUCCUGUUGCUUCUGGCUGUGGGAAAAUUGUUAUCAGUCAUGCACUUUCCAAGGUGAUGAACUCAUUUGGUGAUAUUAAAGGGAAAGUAGCUAUAAUGGUGGACAACAUGAUCGACACAGCAGGUGA